rnacentral:rRNA from 1 species
GACGAACGCUGGCGGCGUGCCUAAUACAUGCAAGUUGAGCGCUGAAGGUUGGUACUUGUACCAACUGGAUGAGCAGCGAACGGGUGAGUAACGCGUGGGGAAUCUGCCUUUGAGCGGGGGACAACAUUUGGAAACGAAUGCUAAUACCGCAUAAAAACUUUAAACACAAGUUUUAAGUUUGAAAGAUGCAAUUGCAUCGCUCAAAGAUGAUCCCGCGUUGUAUUAGCUAGUUGGUGAGGUAAAGGCUCACCAAGGCGAUGAUACAUAGCCGACCUGAGAGGGUGAGCGGCCAAAUUGGGACUGGGACACGGCCCAAACGCCUACGGGAGGCAGCAGUAGGGAAUCUUCGGCAAUGGACGAAAGUCUGACCGAGCAACGCCGCGUGAGUGAAGAAGGUUUUCGGAUCGUAAAACUCUGUUGGUAGAGAAGAACGUUGGUGAGAGUGGAAAGCUCAUCAAGUGACGGUAACUACCCAGAAAGGGACGGCUAACUACGUG